GCUGGUCAAACGGAACCAAGC
rnacentral:miRNA from 19 species